rnacentral:rRNA from 1 species
UAGGGAAUCUUCGGCAAUGGGGGCAACCCUGACCGAGCAACGCCGCGUGAGUGAAGAAGGUCUUCGGAUCGUAAAACUCUGUUGUUAGAGAAGAACACGAGUGAGAGUAACUGUUCUUGUAUUGACGGUAUCUAACCAGAAAGCCACGGCUAACUACGUGCCAG